UUUUAAAUGGCCGCAGUAUUUUGACUGUGCAAAGGUAGCAUAAUCAAUAGUUUUUUAAUUAAAAGCUUGUAUGAAAGGCUGGACGAGGUAAAAUCUGUCUCUAUUUAAAUUAAAGUAGAAUUUAAUUUUUAAGUUAAAAAGCUUAAAUGUAAUUAAAAGACGAGAAGACCCUAUAGAUCUUUAUAAUUUGUUAAUUAAAAUUAAUUUAGAAAUAUUAAUGUUUUAUUUAAUUAAAUUAUUUUAUUGGGGUAAUAGAAAGAUUAAAUUAAUUCUUUUUUAUAAUAAACAUUAAUUUAUGAAUAUUAAAUGAUCCAGUUUUACUGAUUAUAAGAUUAAGUUACCUUAGGGAUAACAGCGUAAUUUUUUUAGAGAGUUCAUAUCGAUAAAAAAGUUUGCGACCUCGAUGUUGGAUUAAAGAUUAUUUUAGGUGUAGAAGCUUAAUAAUUUUGGUCUGUUCGACCAUUAAAUCUUUACAUGAUCUGAGUUCAGACCGGUGUAAGCCAGGUCGGUUUCUAUCUUUAAUAAAAUAAAAUAUUUUAGUACGAAAGGACCAAAUAUUUGAUAUAUUUAUAUUUUAUAAGUUGAAUAUUA
rnacentral:rRNA from 1 species